UACGUAGGGUGCGAGCGUUGCCCGGAUUUAUUGGGCGUAAAGGGCGCGCAGGCGGCCACGCACGUCCGUUGUGAAAUCGCCCGGCUCAACUGGGCGGGGUCGGCGGAUACGGCGUGGCUGGAGCAAGCUAGGGGGUAGUGGAAUUCCCGGUGUAGUGGUGGAAUGCGUAGAUAUCGGGAGGAACACCAGUGACGAAGGCGGCUACCUGGGGCUUUGCUGACGCUGAGGCGCGAAAGCGUGGGGAGCGAGCCGG
rnacentral:rRNA from 1 species